rnacentral:lncRNA from 1 species
AUAUCAAGUGCAUUGUUGGAGGUUAGGGUUUUGAGAAUAGAUGGUGUUUUUGGGUGUUUGAAGUAUUACACCAAGAGGCAUCAAAAUUUGGAAUGCUUAAUAGUGUUACCUCCAGUUUAGAGAAAUCUUAGGGUUAAUAAGCUAUUGAGCUCCAGUUAAUAUGGAUCUUAAUACGCUUUCACCUAUUGGGCUUGUAUGUGAACAUAUUAUUUGGAUUAUAUAACAAUAUAUCCAACAAUCUCCUUCUAUAUUCUCUAUACAGCACAAUCCAAUACGGUAGUUAGUGUAAUGUUCAAACAAAUAUGCAUCAUCCACAUUCAGUCCAAGACAAUCAACUCGAAUUAAAACUCAAUCAUCAAUUACAAUCCAAAUGAGUGAAUCAUUCUUAUCAUGAAUCUGUUCUGAGAUCGGCAUACCCAAAAUAAUUCUCAAAAUCAGUUCACAACCAACAUAUGCAUAACAGUCAGAUAUAAGUAGGCCAGUCAAAAUAAUCCAAGGCUUUACAAAUACAAGAAA